AUGCACGCUGGCGGCGUGCUUAACACCUGCAAGUCGAACGAAGCACUUUAUUUGAUUUCCUUCGGGACUGAUUAUUUUGUGACUGAGUGGCGGACGGGUGAGUAACGCGUGGGUAACCUGCCUUGUACAGGGGGAUAACAGUUGGAAACGGCUGCUAAUACCGCAUAAGCGCACGGCAUCGCAUGAUGCAGUGUGAAAAACUCCGGUGGUAUAAGAUGGACCCGCGUUGGAUUAGCUAGUUGGUGAGGUAACGGCCCACCAAGGCGACGAUCCAUAGCCGACCUGAGAGGGUGACCGGCCACAUUGGGACUGAGACACGGCCCAAACUCCUACGGGAGGCAGCAGUGGGGAAUAUUGCACAAUGGGCGAAAGCCUGAUGCAGCGACGCCGCGUGAGCGAAGAAGUAUUUCGGUAUGUAAAGCUCUAUCAGCAGGGAAGAUAAUGACGGUACCUGACUAAGAAGCACCGGCUAAAUACGUG
rnacentral:rRNA from 1 species